UGAAAACAUGUUACUUCUGAUAAUAUACGUGAUGCUAUGAUUGAUCCUUAUCUUCAGCCAGUGUAGAGACUUUUGCGUUAUAAUUGUGAUUAGGGUUUUAUAUUGCUGUUAUAUUGUUUUGAUAGAUUUCAGCCAUAGAAUUAAGUUAGAAUUCCAAUAUUAUACACUUUUGGAUGCGACUUUUUCUCAUACCCUGCAUAAUGUGCAACGGUUUGUAUCUGAUUACCCUGCCAUUUAUUGUAACUUGAAAUGGAUUGGAUUCAAUGCCACCUUUGUUAUUUUUUGUAACUUAUUGCGGAUUUGUUCCUUGGAAGUUCUGAAUUAGCAGUUACAAAUUGCAGUCUUGUUAUGUAAAUUAGAGUUGUGGUGACUGCAACUACAAAAUUAUUGUGUCACAUCACUCAAUAUUCUUAGCUGCUAUGCUCUAUUUAGCAUACACAUAGCAUUGUCAAUUUAAACUAAUGAAUCUGUUGGUAACAAUUUCACUUUAAUAUAUAGCCAACGAUUAAAUGGUUAGAGUUGUGUAUCACAUUCACUUAAGGGUCCUUGAGAAGUAAAAUCUAAUGUAAAAGAUUAAUUUGAUGUUAGCAUAUAUUGUAUAUAGGUGCUGGUUACAUAUGGAAGUGUUCUGAAGCUGAUGUAUGAGAAGACAAAAUGCCGUUUGCAUUCUCAAGAUGUUCCAUAUGGUUCUAGCAGUGAACAACAAUCGGUUACUGGUAUCUCCACUCUUGAUGAUUCCAAUAGCUACUGGAUAAGUAUAGUUUCUUUCCUUUUUGUUUUUAUUUAUUAAAAUUGAAUUAUGCUAUCUAAUUUAACUUUUUUCUGAUAGUGGCUAAUCCAGUUCUUUAAGACUCUGUACAGAAAGUUUGUUCAUAUUGUUAGACCUGAAAAAGGGAGUUCUGUCAAAUAAGGUGAUACCAUUAAAAGUGGAACAAUUAUUAGAUUGCAGCACUUGGGAACAAGAAAAUGGCUUCACAGCCAUAUGCAUGCUUCCCCAAUUUCAAACAAUCUUGAGGUGAGUUGCUAUGGAGACGAUUCUGAAUCGGACAAAGGAGACAAUUGAAAGUGAGACAUUAAAUUUUAUCUUUGUGAGGAAAUCAAAUGAAAUCAUAUACCAAUGUGAUCCUAACACUAAAGAAUCAAGUUUAAGCACCAUGAAAUUUCAAAGGAAAAUGACAAAGAAACUACAGACAAAUACCAGGUUGUUUUAACAUCAGAUAAAUAUUCAGUUUCAUAUUGUGAAUAUAGAACCAUGAAGAGAUUCCAUUGAUGAUGUACACUUCUGCAUCUAAUUUUGUGUUUGGUUU